AAGCGAAACAUAGCCGCGCAAGCGGUUAUGUCUGCCUGGCGCGGUGGUCAGGUACUGACGAGCAGCCGAGG
rnacentral:hammerhead_ribozyme from 1 species